GAUGAAGAACGCAGCGAAAUGCGAUACUUGGUGUGAAUUGCAGAAUCCCGUGAACCAUCGAGUCUUUGAACGCAAGUUGCGCCCGAAGCCAUUAGGCCGAGGGCACGCCUGCCUGGGCGUCACACGUCGUUGCCCCCCCAUCUACUCCUUCGGGAUUGCGGGGGGCGGAUGAUGGCCUCCCGUGCGCCUCGUCGCGCGGUUGGCAUAAAUGCCAAGUCCUCGGCGACGCACGCCACGACAAUCGGUGGUUGCGAAACCUCGGUUGCCCGUCGUGUGCGGUCGUCGCGCAUCGAGGGCUCGAAAAAAUUGCCGGGCUCCGGCUCGACUUUCAACGCGACCCCAGGUCAGGCGGGGUUACCCGCUGAGUUUAAGCAUAUCAAUAAGCGGAGGA
rnacentral:misc_RNA from 1 species